GUGUAGGACCACACGUUAUCAACGUUUGUUGGCCUUCAUUUUCGCCCAGUAUUCCUUCAUAAGCAACGAAUGGGCUAGCUUUCAUUGCGUAGACCACAUAUGUUGCUUACACACUUCCAUCAUCUACUGGCAGCUACAGCUUUUUCAGAGACAGAAGUGUGCCUACAAAUACUUUCAUCCCUGGACAGCUAGAAGCAUUUGAGUGUCCCAAGUGCAAGAAACUAUACAAAUACAGAAGAAAUAUGCAGUCACAUUUGAAGAUGGAGUGUGGAAAAGACCCACAGUUUCAAUGUCCAUUGUGCUUUAAAUUAUAUCGACAGAAAUCUAAAUUGAAUAUCCAUUUUCGAAUUAAGCAUAGUGAUAUGCAGCUAUGAAAAGAUGUUCUUUCUGAUUUCUUUUCCCCCUUUGUGUACUAACUGCUUCAUAUAGUGUUAGUUAAAUGAAGAUGAAAUCAUUCAUACUCUGAAACUUGAAAUGGCUGACUUUCACUUUCAGCAGAACAUUUGAUGGUCAGAUGCUCUUUUAUUUAAGUUUUGAAGCUUCUAGAAAAUAGAGUCCUUUUGCCUUCCCCUGGCUUAAUAUUUUUACUUCAGCACUUCCUUUAAUUAAAUAUUGUUCAUUACCCUUACAUAUAAUAAUAUUAUCCUCGAUACCUAGAAACUAGUGGAUGUUUCUUUACUUCCAGUGCUACGUGUUGUUAAUGUAUUCAAUUACUUGUAUAAUAACCUCUGCCAAUUAUAGCUUUCCGAUAUUUCAGCUAAGCUCCUUCUAAAUAUUAGGAGAAAAUAUUGAGUGCAUCUCAGUUGUCACAUAUGUUGCAGUAUUGUGAAUACAGGAUAAACAGAAAUAUGAGUAGAAA